rnacentral:tRNA from 1 species
UGGGAGGUCGUCUAAUGGUAAGACAGCAGACUCUGACUCUGCUUAUCGGGGUUCGAGCCCCUGCCUCCCAGCCA